rnacentral:rRNA from 1 species
UACGGGGGGGGCAAGCGUUGUUCGGAAUUACUGGGCGUAAAGCGCGCGUAGGCGGCUUUGUAAGUUAGAGGUGAAAGCCCGGGGCUCAACCCCGGAACUGCCUUUAAGACUGCAUCGCUUGAAUCCAGGAGAGGUGAGUGGAAUUCCGAGUGUAGAGGUGAAAUUCGUAGAUAUUCGGAAGAACACCAGUGGCGAAGGCGGCUCACUGGACUGGUAUUGACGCUGAGGUGCGAAAGCGUGGGGAGCAAACAGG